rnacentral:rRNA from 1 species
GAUGAACGCUGGCGGCGUGCCUAAUACAUGCAAGUCGAGCGAACAGACGAGGAGCUUGCUCCUUCGACGUUAGCGGCGGACGGGUGAGUAACACGUAGGUAACCUACCUAUAAGACUGGGAUAACUUCGGGAAACCGGAGCUAAUACCGGAUAAUAUUUCGAACCGCAUGGUUCGAUAGUGAAAGAUGGCUUUGCUAUCACUUAUAGAUGGACCUGCGCCGUAUUAGCUAGUUGGUAAGGUAACGGCUUACCAAGGCAACGAUACGUAGCCGACCUGAGAGGGUGAUCGGCCACACUGGAACUGAGACACGGUCCAGACUCCUACGGGAGGCAGCAGUAGGGAAUCUUCCGCAAUGGGCGAAAGCCUGACGGAGCAACGCCGCGUGAGUGAUGAAGGUCUUCGGAUCGUAAAACUCUGUUAUUAGGGAAGAACAAACGUGUAAGUAACUGUGCACGUCUUGACGGUACCUAAUCAGAAAGCCUCGGCUAACUACGU